AAACAGGAGGCGUCCCAAACCCCAAGGGGGCGUAGCGAAGACGAGCCUGGGGGGGAAAGGCAGGAAAUUUGGGCGACAGCGGGACCGAAACAAACUUGCCGACGGUCAGACACUCAAAGCGACAAGGGGACGAAAAAUAACAGACCGUGAGGGAACCGAAUUUCUGUAUACUGAUGCACACGUCACGUAACGCCAGACUAUACAUAUCUAUCUUCGUAAACGUUGCGACAUGUUGCCCGGUGUGGUGUCUCUUGUCGUCCGCAUACGUAUUACGAAGUGGCGUUCGUAGUAGAAAGCCUAUAAAUUGUGCGCUGUGCUGGAAUACCCAGUAGCACUGAAAAUCACAGGCUCAUAUCCACCUUUUCAUUUUCCAGUGUAUUCGCGGUACUCUGUAUCCAUGACGAACAGGCGCUAGCCAUGUGAGGUACGGUGCCGCCUGUCGUGUAACAGUGGCCGAAAUGCUCCUUGAGCGCAUAUUCUGAGGCAGAAAAGGACCUCCGACUCUAAUGCUAAGCGUCGAACCGUCGUCUGCCCUGUCACGCAGCAUUUUUCGUUUCCAGAUCAUGCUUUUUGGAAUCAGCUGUCAUGGCGAGCGCCGUGGACGUGAAACACUUUGUGAUGGACGGGCACCAGCAGGCUGAGUCAGUCUCGUUGGCAGGCCUAAUGCAGAGGAGUCGUAGGGGAUUGUGCGUUUAAGGUCCACUAAGUGUGGUUGUAUAUUCCGGCGCGUCUUGUCCCAGAAAUCCGCGGGUUGAGGCUGCGCCGGGAAUGAUUGUGUAGCUUAGCAUCAAUGAAACAUCAAUCCUGCUGGACCGUUGUCGGGUUGUAUGCUUGCUUGUUGACGCUGUCUGUUCAUGAAAGAGUGUUGGUGCAGAGCCGAAAACAAAUUCGUGGCAAAUAAAGAACAGAGUAGCUGGCUCGGGUUAAAGCGGCAAGUGAACGCAGAACUGUUGUCCUAGGGAUAUAGUGUCGUGACUGUCUCUCCGGCGUCUUCUGAACGCGGUCUCGAAAGCACUGUGUUGCAUCAUGGACCGCAUGAUUGCUCUGUAUUUCAUGUUCACUGUGAGUCCGUGCCAGGGAGAUGGCGCACCUCCGUGGACGGCCGCACAAAGCUGACGACAAAGGAUUGUCUGUCAAAAGAGCACCUGCCGUCGCGUUUUUAUGCCUUCCUCUCUAUGACGUCCCGCGUUAAAGCAGUCUACCGACGAGAGAUAAUUCAUGCGUAACGUGGAAACUAACCCCCGUGUUUGCC
rnacentral:lncRNA from 1 species